AGUGAACGCUGGCGGCAGGCCUAACACAUGCAAGUCGAACGGCAGCACAGUAAGAGCUCGCUCUUACGGGUGGCGAGUGGCGGACGGGUGAGGAAUACAUCGGCAUCUACUUUUUCGUGGGGGAUAACGUAGGGACACUUACGCUAAUACCGCAUACGACCUACGGGUGAAAGCAGGGGAUCUUCGGACCUUGCGCGAUUGAAUGAGCCGAUGUCGGAUUAGCUAGUUGGCGGGGUAAAGGCCCACCAAGGCGACGAUACGUAGCUGGUCUGAGAGGAUGAUCAGCCACACUGGAACUGAGACACGGUCCAGACUCCUACGGGAGGCAGCAGUGGGGAAUAUUGCACAAUGGGCGCAAGCCUGAUCCAGCCAUACCGCGUGAGUGAAGAAGGCCUUCGGGUUGUAAAGCCCUUUUGUUGGGAAAGAAAAGCAGCAGGUUAAUACCCCGCUGUUCUGACGGUACCCAAAGAAUAAGCACCGGCUAACUUCGUG
rnacentral:rRNA from 1 species